GUACACAAAAAUGCACAUAUUGUGAGCUCGAUGAGUAGGGCGGGACACGUGGUAUCCUGUCUGAAUAUGGGGGGACCAUCCUCCAAGGCUAAAUACUCCUGACUGACCGAUAGUGAACCAGUACCGUGAGGGAAAGGCGAAAAGAACCCCGGCGAGGGGAGUGAAAAAGAACCUGAAACCGUGUACGUACAAGCAGUGGGAGCCUCUUAAUGGGGUGACUGCGUACCUUUUGUAUAAUGGGUCAGCGACUUAUAUUCUGUAGCAAGGUUAACCGAAUAGGGGAGCCGAAGGGAAACCGAGUCUUAACUGGGCGUUAAGUUGCAGGGUAUAGACCCGAAACCCGGUGAUCUAGCCAUGGGCAGGUUGAAGGUUGGGUAACACUAACUGGAGGACCGAACCGACUAAUGUUGAAAAAUUAGCGGAUGACUUGUGGCUGGGGGUGAAAGGCCAAUCAAACCGGGAGAUAGCUGGUUCUCCCCGAAAGCUAUUUAGGUAGCGCCUCGUGAAUUCAUCUCCGGGGGUAGAGCACUGUUUCGGCAAGGGGGUCAUCCCGACUUACCAACCCGAUGCAAACUGCGAAUACCGGAGAAUGUUAUCACGGGAGACACACGGCGGGUGCUAACGUCCGUCGUGAAGAGGGAAACAACCCAGACCGCCAGCUAAGGUCCCAAAGUCAUGGUUAAGUGGGAAACGAUGUGGGAAGGCCCAGACAGCCAGGAUGUUGGCUUAGAAGCAGCCAUCAUUUAAAGAAAGCGUAAUAGCUCACUGGUCGAGUCGGCCUGCGCGGAAGAUGUAACGGGGCUAAACC
rnacentral:rRNA from 1 species